AUUGAACGCUGGCGGCAUGCUUUACACAUGCAAGUCGAACGGUAACAGGCCUUCGGGCGCUGACGAGUGGCGAACGGGUGAGUAAUGCAUCGGAACGUGCCCAGUCGUGGGGGAUAACUAUCCGAAAGGAUAGCUAAUACCGCAUACGAUCUGCGGAUGAAAGCGGGGGACCUUCGGGCCUCGCGCGAUUGGAGCGGCCGAUGUCAGAUUAGGUAGUUGGUGGGGUAAAGGCUCACCAAGCCAACGAUCUGUAGCUGGUCUGAGAGGACGACCAGCCACACUGGGACUGAGACGCGGCCCAGACUCCUACGGGAGGCAGCAGUGGGGAAUUUUGGACAAUGGGCGCAAGCCUGAUCCAGCAAUGCCGCGUGCAGGAAGAAGGCCUUCGGGUUGUAAACUGCUUUUGUACGGAACGAAACGGCUCUGGUUAAUGCCCGGGGCUAAUGACGGUACCGUAAGAAUAAGCACCGGCUAACUACGUGCCAGCCGCCGCAGUAACAC
rnacentral:rRNA from 1 species